UACAGGGGGCGCAAGCGUUGUUCGGAAUUAUUGGGCGUAAAGCGCGUGUAGGCGGCUUGGCAAGUCGGGUGUGAAAUCCCUCAGCUCAACUGAGGAAGUGCGCCCGAAACUGCUUGGCUUGAGUACCGGAGAGGAUGGUGGAAUUCCCGAAGUAGAGGUGAAAUUCGUAGAUAUCGGGAGGAACACCGGCGGCGAAGGCGACCAUCUGGACGGAUACUGACGCUGAGACGCGAAAGCGUGGGUAGCAAACAGG
rnacentral:rRNA from 1 species